GCUAACAAUUACAUCGUAGACACACCCACGCACGAUGUCUAGAGAAGAUAAGACUAAUGCAGGUGGUUCUUCGAUGACCUACGCCAGAACAGUUAAACGAGUAGCCUUCAUAUGUGGCCAACUCAAUUGCUCCCUGCUGUCAUUACUGUCAACACUGCUUGGCGCGUCCUCCUCACCUCGUGCAUUACUAUAGCGUAAUUUAUAUAGCAACGCGAGCCAAUAUACAGCACGCAAAACAAAUCAGCAAUUACUUAUUGAAAACACGAAAACGAUCGUAGAUCCAAAAAGAGAAGGAAAAAACCCAACGAAGACAGGGCCGAAUUAAGCUCUUUCGCAGGCGUGUUAGUACCUUGUAUGAAUGAACCCCGAGGCAAUACGAGAUGUAGACGUCGAGGCAGGCGUAGGUGACCUGGUCCUCCGAGAGCUUGCGGCCGUUCCAGUUGCUGAGGGCCACCUGCCUGGGCUUCUUCACCCCGCUCAACCCGAGGACGCGUUCCCCAUGCCGGUCACGGCGCGCAGCUCCGCGGCGCGGCUCACCUCCAGGUCGUAGUGCGCGCCGAGCGCGCGGCAGUCGGACAGGACGUUGUACCCGACGAAAACCACGGACGGGUAGUCGCGCAGGAAGCGGCGGAGCACGUUGGGGAUGCAGCCCCCGGCCUGCGCGAUCUGGAAGACGAGGCAGCGGUGGCCGCAGCAGAGCUGCAGCGUGCCGGGGCCGCGGAAGGGGGGCAUCCACUGCACGCCCAUGUCGACCGUGCAGCGGAAGGGGGGCGUUCGUCCACGUCCAACUCCAGAUUUCUGCAUCCCAAAUUUAAGAGAAAAGUCCGUUUUCAACCCUGUACUUGUAGACGACGUCCGAGAUGAACCCUGAUGUCAUUUUACGUCUGUUACUAAUGAUUCUGAAGCGACCGCCCCCUUACAAGGGUUCGAUCUCUGUGCUUUAGUGCUAGUCCCUGGAUCGACUCACUAGCACACACAGUUUCAAGAUGUAAUAUCAUAGAACAAAGGUCUCAAUAUUACAACGAAUCAUCCAGAAUUUUAAAAAAAUACUUACAACUCGCAUAACCUCACGGGUUAGCUGGAAAGAAAACAACUGUUUAGUAGCGGAAAACGAAAGAUACAAGGGCACAUCAACACCACGGUGAGAGCGUGUUGGAAUGUAGGCCCGUAACCCAACAAACAGGACGUACAUCUUACUCGUCGUCGGAGCUUCCUGCAUCAUUAAACGAUGCAGCCGCUAGGGUCAAUACAUUGAAUGUAUUGGCAAGAUUCACUAGGAGUUAUAACAGAACCUACCAAGUAUAUGCAUAAUGUGGCAAAGUGGAGUUCAGGCUAUUUGCGUGGAAGCAGAACAUAGAUUACCCUACUACAAAGGAAUGUUAUAAUAAUGUUAACUAAUGGACACGGGGUAGACACACCCAUGCUCCUAUUAACCUAGAGUACAUUGAAGUGGAUUCUUCAAGUGCUCCUACCCUGUUCAAACCAUUCAUUUUAUUUAAGAAAUUGGAAUGAGUGAGACUUUCCUUACAGCUCCACAUCUAGUUGCUCAAAUUGUCCGUUGCCGGGGACACGGCUAAGUACUUAGUUUUGACGCUCUCGAGAGUUUGUACACAUUCCCCACAAGAAACCGACGUGUUAAUCCCUUGCUGUCCUCAGGGUAGAGUAGCAACGGCAUCGAUUACGAGAUUUUCAGAGAUAAUUCCCUAAACCACGAGAGAAUCACGCUCCCCCUACACGGCUACCUCAGUACAAUUCCUCGGGUCUAGGUUCAUACAACUUACUCUUGUCUCGCCAGAGCCCAUAUAGCAUUGUGGUUGUACUUGAAGCUUCUAAAUAGGAAACUAGUCCAGUCUCGGUUACCCCAGGUGGCAUUCCACAUUUGCAACGUAGGCGCUCCCCGAAUCCACGGGAGAGACGUCCAUGGACGAUCCAUUCCUGAAUCCACAGGAACUCGACUCAGAGGGACCCAUAGAAAUGGACCUGACGCCGCUAAUCCUCAAAAUCCUCAAAGCAGCCCACCCAGGACGGUUCAUUAAAUUAAUUGUUUUUCCCUACAUCUCACAAAAACAUUUCAUAUCGCCAAAGGCAUAACAAUAUCAUAAUGUAGUUAUUUCCCCCACGAUACUACCAUAGCCUAGCAUUCAACUACAAUCGAUGGCAAUUUUGGUAGCAAGGUAAUGGCGAGGGUAAAAUAGACUACCUGGGAUUUAUAGCUAGCAUAGAAGUACGAGUAAUAUUCCUGAUGCAACUAAUAAAACAUCUAGUGCAUAGUAAAAUAUUUAGGAGAAUGAUCAAAGUGAACUUGCCUUGUCCAAGGUUGUGAUAGUUCUCGCACUCUUCGCAACAACAAGAAAUACACUCCACACAAUCUAAAAUAAAAGACACACACACAAUAAACACAACAUUCAAUACAAAAACCAUGCCAUGAUGCAUAUGCUAAGAUGAUGCACACAAAGGUUACUUCUAGCGUACAAAGUUUCGUUUCUGUUUUGAAAAGGCUCUCAAAAGAUUUGGACAGAUUAUACAACAUUAAAGUGGUAAUUAAUAUGCAUGAUACAUGAAUAGGGUUUAAAACGAAAGGUUGUGCGGCUUUUGCAACAUAGAGCAAUAUUUCACUUGCAUGCCAUGAUUAUACACAAAAUAAUUUCUUUUCUGGUCCUAAUGGAUAGAGAACAAGUUUAAAUAAUUUUACAGCAAGAUAACAUGUUCAAAACUAUUUUGAAACCAUUCAUUCGAAAUUUAAACCAUAAACCACCAUUCUGUAAAUAGCUACUGUCUAAGUUAUUCAAAACUGAAAAUAAAUGGUGCCAAAAUAUUCUACACGUUGAGACGAUUCCAGAAAGGUGUGGAUCGUAAAUUUUGGACAAACGGUUUAAAAGAUAUAAGGUUUUGAAAUUGUAGGGGCUUUUCUGCAAAAAUUGCAUUAUCUAAUUCGGCCGAAUUAAAAAAACAAUGACUCUCGCCACGUGGCGAAACCUGACUGGCCCGGUUCUAGGGUUCCGGCCGGCGGGCGAGCUCGCCGGCGGCGGCGCGGGCAGGCGGCGCGGGGCGGCGCGGCGCGGGCGCGGGCCGCGCGGAGGCGGAGCGCGGGCAGCAGCGGGGGCGAGCGGCGCGGGCGGCGCGCGGGCGAGCAGCGGGGGCGAGCGCAGGCGGCUGCGCGGGCACGGACAGCGCGCGGAGGGCGGCCGGCGGCGGCGGCGCACGGGCGCGGGGCGGAGCACGGGCGCGCGGGCACGGCGCGGGCGCACGGGCAGGCGGGCGUGGAGGCGGCGCGGGGCGGCGACCGGAGGUGGCACGACGAGCGGCGGCGGCCGGCGCUGAGGAAGACGGCGGCGCGGCGAGCGCGCGGAGCGCCAAAUCGGAAACUACUCGCGUCACAGCGUGCGCAAGGAAGAGAGGAGGAAGACUAGGGGGUAGGCGCGGGCGGAGACUCACCGGAACGGCGGCGAAACGCGAAGAACGGCGGUGGCAGCAACGAACUCCGGCGAGCAAUUACUUUCUAACCGGUGCGAAAUUGGACUUGGGGUUUGGAGGAAGUGGAGGAGAAAAUCGAGGCCUUCGGGGUGACGCGCAAGGAUUUGGAAAAAACAGCCCGAGCGCGGAGAAAUCGGAGGUGGAGUCGUGGGCAGUUCGCGGGCGUGCGUGGCCGGAUUUUUCGGACGGAGGUUGAAGAUGACGCGUGGGUCCCACCGGUCAGUGAGGGUGGCCGGCCGGUUCGGGCUGGGCCGGUUCGGUUCGAUCCGGUCCUGUCCGGUUUGACCGGUUCGGUCCGGUUUUCCUCGGUUUUUCCUUUUCUUUUAUCUAUUUUCUGUUUUUGAACCUCAAAAUUGAUUCGGAGCUCCAAAUCACUCCAAAUAAAAUGCAACAAAAAUUUUAAAAUCAUAUUUUCAUAUGAUCUAACUUUUGGAGCAAGAAUUUUCUCAAAAUAAAAUAUUUAAAAAUAAAUUUGCCUAUAAAAUGGCUUUAGAGCCCUUAGGCUAUCGAAUCAAAUUAUUUUUCAAAAUACUUUUAAAAGCCAAUUUAUGAGAUAGCUCUAUAUAUAUGCAUUAAAUCCCUUUUUACCACAAUACCCUCAUGGGUUAAAAUGCAAAUACUGAAAGGCAAGAUCAACGACCAAAAUCAAAUAAAGGCGUUUUUGCAAAAAGGGUUUUCUGGGCAAACUUUAGGGUUUUGAAAGUGAUCAAAUGCAAGGGGGACAUGAUGCUUAUGAUAUGCAAUGCAUAUGAAGAAUUUUGAAAAAUGGGAUGUUACAGAUUCAUUAUGUAGUAGUGACAUAGACGCAAAUCAUGAGAAUUUGUAAGCCUACUCAUCAAUCCAGAACCAUGUUAGCGAAAACGAUCAAUCCAAACACGAUUUCUAGGAUAAAGGAUUUUAAUUAACCGGGAUCAAUAAGAUCAGGGUUCGAAAUUCAGGGAUCAGAAGGUUAAGGUCCAAUUCAGAUUUUGUCUAGGAAGUCAGGGUUUAAAAUAGACUUUUCUUCAAAUUUAAGGGACGACCUUUCACAAAUCAACUUUGAACGUGCAUUAUGGAGUUACCUUUUUUUUUUUUGCAAAUUGGUACGUAACCGCUAAAUGUGUGUUGUGACUUGUGAUUCCUAGUCGACUCUAGUCUAGAUGGAAAGGAAACGGGCCGGCUGGGAGCCUGGGAAAACCAGAAACUGCAUCCGUGUUGUCGCGUGGUUGUUUGUUCCGACUCCCGAGCGGAUCGUAGCAGCAGUUGCGGCGCCGCAGGGGGUAUAUGUGCGUGUGAUCUGUGGGGGACGAAACCAACGAACUGCCGGCCGGAUCUAGCCAUGGCCGCCGCCGGAGCCGUUUCAGCGCGGCUCCGUCGCUCCACGCGGACACAAGACGACUACGAGGUGCUCGUCGCGGGGCGCACCGUCCUCGCCACCGUCACGGCGAGCCCAGCCGUCGCGCGCCGCUGGAUCUACACCACGCUCUGGCGGGGCCGCCAGCGCCUCAACUCCGGCAAGGGGCUCACCGUCGGCAUGGGCGUUCAGUGGACGCCUCCUUUCCUCGGCUCCUCCUCCGACGACGAAUCAGAGUCCUCUGACGAGGAAUCAGAGUCCGAGCCGCGGCCGGGCACGGUGCAGCUUUGCAGCGGGCAGCGCUGUCUGGUGUUCCAGAUCGCGCAGGCGGCCAAAUAUGCAGACGACGGUGCGACCCCCGCCGUGCUCCGGCGCUUCCUGGACGACCCGCGCGUGGCCUUCGUGGGCUUCGGGUCCGACUGCCGCAAGCUCGGCGCCCACCACGGGCUGGAGGUCAGGUGCACCAGGGAACUGCGCGCCGUGACCGGCAUGGGGAACACCUCCAUGGAGCGCAUGGCGGAGCGGCUCCUCGGGUCGGGCGGGGUGAAGAAGGCCAGGCGGGUCGGCGUCAGCAGGUGGGACGCCCGCGAGCUCUCCGAGGAGCAGGUCAAGUAACGCCUGCGUCGACGCCUACCUCUCCUACUGCCUCGGUGUCACGCCGGACUCGGACUCGGACGCGGAGUCGGGAUCGGACUCCGACUAGAGUCAUGUCUUGUUUUCUCAAUUUCAUAGUUACUUGUCGAUUGUGGACGAAAUAAAGGUGCCAAUUUGUGUAUAUGGCUAUUGUUAUUGUGAAAUUAGUGAAUUUGCUGAAUAUAUUCUAGUCUUAAUAGCAUUUUGAUAUCAUGAAUGCGAUUAUAGAUGUAAUGAUAUAAUGAUCGAAAGAUAUAUGACAUUUGUGAAUUUGAUAAAGGUUAUUUUGCGGAUUUUUGUUAUCCACAUUAGUAUACAUUAAAGUUUACUGGAAGGACAAAUGAAAGUUUAAUGGGUAUUGUUUUUUUUAUCAGACAGGAGGAAAUCAUGUUGAGAAAGAAAACUCAAAAUCGCCAUUAUCCAUCUGUUGAAUUCAAGUAAAUGUGAUCCGUUAAUUGUAUCGUGUUCACUUAGAAGUAUAUUGUUGAAUCUUCAAGUCAUUACAUGGUACUGUAGACAUGAUGAUUACUGUAGACAUAAAAAAGAAAAAUAAUUCAAUCCAUCUUAGAAGUAUAUUUUAUAUGACCCACGUAAUUUAUCAAAGUCUAAUAUUAAGUCGGUGGCAUGAUGAUUACUGUAGACAUAAAAAAGGAAAAAUAAUUGGAUUUAUGGGUCAAAUAUCCUCCUCUCCCUUCGAAAUAUAUAUAUGUGGGGUGUAUAUGCGAGUACUACUAAUCGUUUGCAUGUGGUUGCACGUAUAAUAUAAGAUUAAUGGCAGUUAAUUGCUUUGCAUGCGGUUGAUUUAAGGCUGUAAUGGCCGGGAAUUAAUCAAUUUAUUUGAUGCAUGGCAAUUAUGUGAGCGGUUGGUCUGCAUGCAAUUACCGAGCGCCCGUUUGCAUGCACAAUAUAUUAGUCACAUGCUAAUUACCCGCAUGCAUUUGCAGUUACGGUUGGGUUAUACACUGGGCAGUUUAACGUACACUGAAAAGAAAAGGCGCUUUUCAGAAUGUUUGUGUUGAUUCGUGUAUGUCGUGUCCUUUGGGAUGCAUACGUCCGGGGUUGAGUCGUUUGCACGGCCCUAUUUCCUUCCAAAUAUAGAGUCAUCUCUCUUCUCUCAUUUUAUUUCAAAAACUCGUCUUUCGUGGAGCGGCGAUGAGCAAGGUCAUGGGGGCAAAUGACUUGUAAACUGGAUGAAGGUGUGCAGGCCAAAGCAGCUUGCGGUUUAGGAAUUAAGAAUAUUCAGAUCGUUAGUCGUGCCUUGAGAUUGCGUUGGCCGUGAUUCGAAUGGAUCUCUCAGGACAGACCAUGGAUUGGCUCCAAAACUCCUUGCAAUGAAUGUGACUUGCAGCUUUUUGCUGCUUGCUCUUCUAUCUGUUGUGGGGAUGGAAAGAGGGCAGCUUUCUGGGCUGACAGGUGGUUACAGGGUGAAGCUCCAAUGGUGUUGCACCUGAUCUGUUCAAGCUCUCUAGAAUGAAACAAGCGACGGUGUCGGAUGCAACGAGGGAGAGGAGAUGGAUGAGAGGCUUUCACCGUAUAUCUUCGGUUCGGGAAAUUGGUCAGCUCGCCAGGCUCUGGGUUCAGUUGCGUUCGUUUCAGCUCACUUCAACGGCAGAUUCUAUCAAGUGGAAAAUUGGCGUCGGACGGUGCUUACUCGGCCAGUUCCGCGUAUGCAGCUCAUUUCCUUCAGGCGAUCCUGCAACGAACUCUCUGCAAAAUCUGGAUUGUUAAAGUGGCCGGUAAAAUUCAGUUCUUCAUGUGGCUACUUUUGCAAAACCGCAUAUGGACGGCAGACAUUCUCGUGGUUAGCCGCAUAAUGCUGCUUGCAGUAUGUGUGAUCAAUCCCAGGAGGGUGCGGCACAUCUCAUGCUUGGAUGCCCUAAUGCUUAGGAGAUUUGGCAUUCGUACUCUACACAGUGGCCAAGGAUGGCUCGUUUCGCAAUUGAGAGCUCUUCGCUGAGAACUUGGUGGCCAAAGCUGACUUCGGGGCCUCACAUCGUGAUCAAAAUCUAAAGAUGUGGCUUUGGCAGCUUAUGUCGUCUGGCACACAUGGAAGGAAAGAAACAACAGAGUUUUCAAGCAGGAGAUGACAGCUGUGGCGCUGUGUAUUUUGAUCGAUGAUCGGUUCAGCCUCCUUUUGGAGGCAAGGGAGCUGUAACUUUUUUUCCCUCCCUGUACAGCCGAACUGUUAGUUCUGUUUCGGAUUUCUUUCUGCUUCAGUGUUGUUACAUUGCAGUAAGUUGCUUUAUUACUUCUUCUAAUUGAAAAGGCAGUGAAACUGGCAAGAUUCCUCCAAAAAUGACGACAGACUAACGCCGUACCCGCACAAUGGCGCAGACAAUGCAAAUAUGACAAAUAUCUAUAAACUACAAUACGGCCGUGUAGUGUUCAACCUUUAUCUUGAACCCAGUGACUUAUUUAACGUGGGUUAACACGGAUCAGCAUUAACAGUCUUAUACUAAUACUCCCACUUUAAUAAACCAGAACGGAGGGAGCAUUUCAUAGGCUGGAAUGGAGAAACAUUACGUUCUCAGAGCCAAACCAGAAUGAUUCCCCAAAUGGGAUUAGGAGUUACAAUUAUGUUUCAUACACUUGACACGGUUUAAAAUAUCAAUUCAUACAGCAGAGUAUUAGUAUCACCCGCACACACGUUCAACUCCAACAUUAGCAAAUAAUGACAUGCCAGUAACGAAGAACAGUGUACUUAACAAAAGUAUAGUAAAAGUGCCACGUAACAGUAUCAUUCGACAAAACAGACUUCGACAAACAUGAAGCAGUUUGCUUCCAAACUUUAUUCAUACCACGCAACUCUGAUUCAUAUGAUGUCACCCAAACAAGCACCGCGUCCAAAUCAUUCACGGAGGCCUCAGCUUCCACUCCAGCACCAGAUCCAUCGACUCUCUCUCUCGGAAAGUCUGACUCUAAUUUGAAAUGACUACUAUGAUGCAUAUCCGAUUGCCCGGAAUCCAGAUUUCAAGUUCAUUAGGUCAAACCUUCAGUCUGAGCAGUUGUGGAUCUUUUCGUACAAAUCAUUAUCAUGAGACCAGAACAGAACAUCUUUCCCACUCCUGCUCUAGCCCAGAAGACCUGCCAAACCCUGUUAUUGAAAAAGCACACAUGAUAAGAGCGUCCACAACUGGCAUAACAAAAUUGUACUCCCUCCGUUCCAUAAUUCUUGUCAAAAUAUUACAUGUAUCACACUUUCUAGGAAUAGAUACAUCCAUUUUUGGGCAAAUUUGAGACAAGAAUUAUGGAACGGAGAAAGUAUAUCGCAUCACAUAUUAGUAAAGUUUAUUAAAUGUUUAAUUUGAGAAACAAACUCCUUAGAAAAUAUACUUCUAACCUAAAUAUUAGAUCUCAGCACCAAAAUAAUGAUUGCAAGGUAAAAUGGUGACUUACGCUCAGUUCAGAAAAUAAAGCAAACCAACAUGCACUUUGUGGCCAGCAAAGUGCACUUGGUAGAGCUUUCCAGUAAAGAUUGUAAUGAGCAAAUGAGUUGUAUAACUUCUAUGUGAAUAAUGAUGCGCAAUAAAGGAAGGAGAAACCAAUUGCAGAAAUAUGUAAUCAUGUUCAUGAAAGUAGUUGACCAAAUUGUUAUUAUCAACUGAAUAGCAUUUCCAGAAAACAAAUAUCGAACAUCUCAGUAAGCGUCUAGAUACAUGUAAUAUUUCAACAAGAAUUAUGGAUCGGAGGGAGCAGAUUACAAACUGCACCUAAUAGCAAGGAUUGAAAAAAGUAGCUAAAUCAGAUUAAAGUUUUCAAACUUUAUAUUCUACAGUAUUAUUUUUGAAACAUCAGCUGUUCAGUGACAAGAAAAAAGGUGAACAAAAGAACUGAGAGAAGCAAAUGAUGCAAGAGAAAGAACCGUUGAAAGGCCACCUCCAAGAAAUGUGUUAUGAACUUAUGAUCAGAGAAUAUAUAUAGAAUGUCUUGCAAGUUCACCAUCCAAUUCAAAAACUUACCAAAUUCUAAGGUCAGCACUUGAUAUGCUUCCAAGACAACCAUCCACCAAAAGAAACAUAACAUGAAAGUGCUGCACUUAUCAGGGCCAAAUUCAAGUGUCAAUCUCUGUCAUUUCCUCCAACAUGUUCUCUUCACGGCAACUCUGCCAACUCCUGUAAACGAGGCCAAAAUAUAUUCACAUUGGCAUUAACGAGAAAUUUCCAAAAAGAAUAAUGCGCUUCAGAUUCAGUCCAAAAGAAAAGUUUACCAGUAAUUAUCAUGGUACAAGCUAGAGUCACACAGGGUAACGGCCAGACCAUAUGGAUUGUGCUGGUUGUGAUUCUGCCAAUGGACCAUUAUUCUGAUGUCCUUGCGGAAAGCUAUGUUCUGGAAGUUGUUUUGUGGAUUCAAAAAGUUGGAAAUCAUGCCAUUGCUUCUCGUUGGUCUGUCCAGCAUACAUGCCAAAAGCUUGUUUCCCAGGAAAGGGGAAGGGUGUGGUCAAUGCACUGUUGCUAGUUGUAACAUUUGAAUGUGCAUGCCGCUGAUUGUUAACAAGAUCCAGUGAUGGACGGUAGCCAUUUAACCAGAUAUCAUCAGCCUGUACAUGAUGACCAUUCCCAACUGAAAUGAAAUCGUCUCGUCGCUUUGAGGGAACAUUGUUAAAUCCUGGAGGGGGGCCAACAUGUCUUCCGGGACGACUGACAGGACUUUUCCUUGAUAUAGCCACCUGUGUGUCCAUGAACUUUGUUGUUGUGCCAUCCAUAGAUGCUACUGAUGGCAAAACUGAAUCAAAAGCUGACGGGAUAGUAACUUCAGUAGACUUGAACUGGUUAAGAUUUGGAAUUGGGCCAUUCCAAGGAACACCAGCAGAUACAUGUGGAACAUUUCCCAUGUACUGUAAUCCGUUCAGGCCACCAUUUACUCUAUGAUCCAAAAACCCAUUUGCACCGAUGUUAACAUUCUUUAAAGCACUCAAUAAGAAUGAAUUUUGAGGGAGCAUAUGUGGAUUAUCUAGGCUGCUGAAACUAGGAACUGAUGAUGCAGGUGUAUAAUGAUCUGGAACGAUGCUGGGAAAGCUUGGCAUCGGGACUGCACUCUGAGGGGCAACAAGUGGUGCACCUGUGCUUACCCAGGUGGGAUCAGACAUAUUGAAAGGCUGACUUGAUCUUGGAGCAACGCUAGGAAUCAACUGUGGCCCACCAUUCACAGCCCAACCAAUAGAAGACAUUGGGAGAGACUGAACAUAUGUACUGGCAGUUGAAGCAGAUGUGGUGCUUUGAAGAGAUACUGGAGUACCAUUAUUUAACCAAUUAGCAUCAGAUGUCUGUACUGGCUGUAUGAAUUCAUUAGUUCCUAGUUCUGAAGGACCUCUGAGAGGUUUUUCAGAAACUGGAGGCUUAAACACAAUUUCUUCAUCAUCAUCUCCUUCAGCACACAGUUGAGCCUUUGUCUGAACUACAUCGAGUUUUUCUGCAACUGAACCAACAUUACUUGUGACUUGAUGUUCAUAUUCAGUAGGAUUUGUUUCAUCUGCAUGACUGGAUCCAGAUUGAGCAAGAGGAGCUUUAGAAACAGGUGGUUCAGUAGACAUAAGGAACUUUUUUGAAGUUGGCUCAAAGUAUAUUCGCAGUUGAUCAAUUUGAACAAAACUCAUCAAUGCUUUCCCUGCAGCAAGAAUCCUUUGUACACGUGCCUGUUUCUCCUUGGUGCUUCCAUCAGCUCCAGAUGCGUGCUUGUUUGAGAAAUCCAAGAUAACUUGUGCAGGUGCCAACGGCAAAAAUCCUCUCAACUCAACAUCCUCCCACAAUGCAAUCCUGUUGCCAGUCUCACCCUCCUCGUAUGUGCACAUAUCAGAAAAGCAUGUCUCAUCAUCAUCACCGUCAACACGUGCAAGACCUGUCAAAAUGAGCUUAUUCAUAAAAGCCACGCACUGAUUCCAGAAGAAAGUUCUUGCAUCAGCCUGCUUUUGCUCCAUCUCAGAACUAGAAACAUAAUCUGGAUGGCAUGCCAGCCAUUCAAUGAAGACCAGAAUGGCUGGCAGGUAAGUACUCGAGGAAACAUCAUGAAGCUCUAAGCACCUUUUCAGAAGGUAUCCAACAAACUCAAAGGUAGUUGAAUAAGCAUUUUGAAGUAGCACUCUCCGUUUUGCAGUUUCCGCAUAUGAUGGGUUCUCUGAGUCUUUGUUCACAUUGUACACCGUAAAAACAAGGAUAGCAAUAAGCUUUACAAAAGAUAGUGCAUUUUCAACAGCAUCCGAACCAAAAUUGAGCUCCUCGACAGGACCAGAUGAAAGAAGAAUCUGUAAAUCACUGGCAACUGUAGCAGAGAGCUCCCCAAAAGUUUCCAGGCUAUGAGUAGAAGAAUAGAAGUGUUAGAGAGAGAGGGAGAGAGAGCGAGAGGAUAACAUGGGUGCAUAGUAAAUUCUUGCUAAGUACCUUGUCUUUGUGAAAAGUAUCCCAUUGAGGCGAACAAACCGAACAAAGAAAGAUUGAAGUAUGUCCGGAAUGCUGUAUUCUUGCUCCUUCGAAGUUACUUCUGUAUUAGCACCUUUUGGCUGAAUUCUUGUAUCAGCCCUUCCUCUGCCCCUUCCAACUGAUCUGGAGGGUAAUGCCCUAGCAGCCGCAACCUUAUUCUUACUAUGUAGCUGAGCAUAGCUUUGACGAUUCUGCGUACAAAGCCAUAAGAAUAUGAAGCUGUUGCAAAGCAUAGAUCAGCACAACAAAGAAUUGUAUAUUAAAAUAAACUACAAACAUUACUGUAUAUUGCUCCUUCUCAUAUCAUGUGCAGUAAAUGCUAGAAAGCAUCGAUUACCAACAAUCAAAUGAAAAAAGUUAUAGCCAAAAGAUGAAAGAAAAGGUUAUUCUUACAACCCAGUAGGUAACACCGGAAUAGUAGAACAUACAGUAUGGAAUAAAAUUAAAACCCCACAACUAAAACUGAUAGAAUAAACAUCCCACCAACAGAACUAUGUAAUAUCUUUUAAAUAGCAGAGGCAGCUUUGCAAAUUUCUGGGACAUAUAUUAAUUAAACAAUAGAAUGCACCAAGAUCUGCUUCAUUCUAGAAUGAAAACAUCACACAGUAUCAUCCAAAUGGAUGGCAAAGGGGAUAUGUAAAUUCGACGGCAAAAUAUAACACAAAAGCAAGCAUAUGACUGAAAUAUAAAUGUUGCAUCAAUAACAUGAAGAUGUCACCAUACCUUCUCAAAUGCGAUAAUCAAGUUUUCCCUCGCUGUAGAGAAGGGACUAUCCAUCGCUAGGCUACGGAAGUACCUAUAGAUAGCCGUUACCUCAUCACCAGAGUAGGAUGCUAAUAUUGCAAGCUGAAAAAGAUGACAGAAAUUCUUCAUUAGUACAGUAACCAUUUGAGAAAAUGUGUGUGUAAGAUGAUGUUGCUGCACAAUAUAGCCAGAUCCACAUACCUGAUGAUGUGGGUUUCCAUUAGAAGGGCACAGUGAAGCUGCCUCUUUGUAGUAACUUGAAGCUGCAGAAUAUUCACGGCUCGCGGAAUCAGCAUCUCCAUACAGACCCUUGUAACGGGCAAGAUCGCCUAAAUAUAUCAGACAGCGAUAGCAUGACAUUAGGCCUUUCUUCAUGUCAAUUAUUUUCUUCUUGUCUUUUCCAGGAACUACCGAAGUAUCAAGGCCCUCAGGGAAGUAGCCUAACGGAAGACCAUGAUUCGACCGGAUUUUCAGCAUCAAGUCAUGAUAGAAACCAGUGGCUUCCGACAGGAAACUCCUAAAAGUAGAUUUGAUCCUCUUGACUCGAUCAGGGUUGACAUUGUUCUUCCCACCCUGCACUGCAGCCGAACUGGAGGCUGCAGCAGAGUUAAUGUGACCACGGAAUUCCUCAAUUCUUUUGUAGUGCAACUGCCACAGGUGAUACUCUAUCUCGUGAUUUUCAGAAAAUUCUGGAUCUGCAAGGAUUAUCUUUUCAUAGUUCUCACGCAUCUGAAGCCAUAUGCUGGGAUCUGAUGGGAUUUUUGACUGAGCUGCCCUUCGAAGACGGCUAUCAUGUUCAGCAUUCUGCACAAAUAAACAUCCUUAUCACCACCAAUAGGCAUACAGAAUUGUUUGAAUCAAUUUUAGAAACAGAAGGAAUGCCAUGUAAAAGCUCAAAAGGAGAUUCUCCUCAUAGUUCAACAAAGAUGGACAUUCCAAUCUGAGUUCUCAGUGAGCAAGGACAUCGACAUAUCAAAAUCAUAACAAUGCAUAAGCGCUGCAACUAACCUUAAAAAAUGGUUAUCUACAUCGCACAUAGAAAAUAGCAUGCAUUCAACUUCAAGUGUAAUAAAGUACCAUUCAGAGCCUUGUUAUUUUGUGCAGCCAAGUACAUUUUGAGUUGGUAUCUCUUGAUUCACUAACAUGAUAGCAGUCACAAACUUGUUGGCGUUAUCAAACACCAGUACAUCACGAACAUAAAUAUUAAGUUUGCACGCCAGUACAGAAACUUUACUCACUUACCAGAAUAGGUAACAUUAAAUGUGGUAAAACCAUUGAACGCACUAACAAACAAUAAUUGAUAUAAUUAAAAUGCUUAGGAAGAAAACCAAAGCCAAUUCCAACUAUUCACGCAACAUUCAUAUAGGAAGAAACCUCUAAGCAUGUAGACAAGUAAAUUGGGUAUGUACUUCACUGUGCAAACUUACCAGAAUGAGUAACUUCGAAUGUAAAGGAAACCGUAAAACAAUGCUUAACAGGACAUUCAAAUAAAAAAAAAGCUGCUUAGGAAGAAAACCAAAGCCAACCACUCCCACGACUUACCUAUAUGAAGAAACCUAUAAGCACUUAACAAGUAAACUGGAUAUCCGCACAGUUCCAGAAUAAGUAAAUUACUGGUUCGACAAUUGGAUUACGAUUACAGAAAACGUUACAGGUUUAAAUGAUUAAUGACUUAGGCUAACAGUCCAGCACAAGGCACCAUUUACACAGUCAACUGAUCAAAUUGAAAGCUGCCUAACAUCACAAGAACAAAUGCAGUGAAAAGAACAAUGUAAAAACAGGAAUAGCCCCACUAUACGACCAGACAGGAAACAAUCAACGGUUGUUAUUUAACAUUGUCAGAACAAUGCAGACUGAACAAGCAGAAAGAACAGACCUUCUUUAAAAGACGCUGUGCAAGCUCCCUCGGUGACAAGGAAGCAGUAGCUUUAUCCAUCGGGACAGCCAUCAUCCAUCAAGAAAGCAUCAGUUUAGAUCGCUGCAAAAGGGAGAUAAGAGUUGCAUGUCAACAACAACUAACAGACAUAAGGAAGCCCACAGGGCACCAAGGAAUAAACCAGUCUCUGCGAUGCAUCACGCAAAACAAAAUACCCUUACAUGGAAGAAAAUCUAGCCAGACCAGCAAGCAUCACCAUACUUGACCAGUUGCAAGCAAAAGAAAUUACCCCUUACAUGGAAUUAAAUUCUAGCCAGGCCAGCAAUCAUCAGCUAUGCUUUGCAAGUGGCGAGAAAAAUUUACAAACACAUGGAAAAGAAACUAGCCUGGCCAGCAAGCAACAGCCACGCUUGGCCAGCAGGAUAAGCUUUUCCCGGGAUCGUAAAACCCCAACCACUCGCUAGACUAACCACCUAGCACGAACAACAACCCAGACCGUAACCCAAUCUCCCUAGAAACCCUAGAACGCAUACCAGUAUCCACCCACCAACGGCGUGGCGCGCCACCGCCAAGGCGGGGUGAUGACGUGAAACCCUAGGCAGAACUCGGGCCUCCGUAUCGGAAGCCCACGCCAACCAAAUUAAGAAGUGAUGCACAGGAACAGAAAUAAACAGGCGCAACGGAGAUCACGCGAAACCCUAGGCAGAACUCACGCCUGCGGAUCUCCGCAGCCACAUCCGCCGAAUCGAGGAGCGGGUGCACGAGAAGAAAAAUAAACAGCGGGGGAAGAUCCCUACGAGGCCGACCGAAUCGAGGACGAGAAGCGCCGCCGAAUUGGAUGAACCCGGCGGCCGAUUCGCGAAGGAUUGGGGCUUGGGGAAGGGGAGGGGGAGAAGAGAAGGACCGUAGCGUACCUGGUCGAGGAGCGGAAUUGAGGUUGCGGGGGGGAGGCGAAGGAAGGGCCGAAGGGGUGAUUCGUUUUAGGUGUCGCGUCGUCGCCGUGUUGGGGUUGGCUAGUCCUUCGCCGUCAAAACUCGCACAAGGGAAGGGAAGGGAAGGGAAGGAGACUGCCAAGGAGGGGUGACUCUUUUUAAAGUCAAAAAGAAAGGCUUUCUGCGCGUGUCGACGCGUUCUUUCAGACGUGUUCUAUCGCCGUAGUCGGUUUGUGAGAUCAGAUGAAUGUAGGCAUUCGGUUAAAUCCAGCGAGGCAUAAACUUUAAGCUCAUUUUUAUCUAUAGGAUUCUCAAAAUACACAGGAAUAGAAAAACAAUACAGGAUCAAAGUGUCGUACCGUUUUGAAUACGGUAGAAUCCAACUUUAUGGAUCAUAUAUGUAAGAAAAAAUCCAAAGGAUUACAAUCCUCAAAAAACUCUUUGAAAAUCAUUUAAUCAAAGAGGCCCUAGGGAUUUAUUUGGUUUGUAGGAUUGCAAAACUUAGGAAUAGAAAAUAUCAUAAAGUAGGCAAAAAAUAUGUAAAACAAAAGAUUGGAAAACAGAGGAUUACAAAAAAGAGGAAUCCAAAAAUGAGGUCUGAGUGGAUGGUAAAAUUCCGAUGCUUUUCGAGAAGCAACAAGGUAAAUUUUCCUCUACUUCUCCUGGGAUCCAUUCCUAUGAACCAAAUGCACAAACACUACCAUCAAAGGAAAAUAAAACAUAUUCCCAAAGUCUUUCUCCAAUUCUUCUAUGUAACAAAGAGACCCUAAGGGUGUGUUCAGUUCCUAGGUGGUCUUAACCUGCAUCGCAUCUAAGAUCCUAUCGAAUUUGGUGCAAACAUUAGUAUUCGAUAGGACUUUGGUUAAUAUCGAAUACAAAAAAAUUUGGAUCUCUCUCAACCAAAGUCCGAACCAUGACAUGAACUCCAUAAACAAACAAACACAAAUCCGAACCAAAUAUCACAUCCAAAUCAUUUCAGAUCUAAAAUUUCGAACCAGAUAAAACUUGAAGAUCUGGUGAUGACGGGGAAGAGAUCGGGGCAAGGGGGGAUCAGGGAGACAGCGGCAAUGAUCGAUGGUCAGUUUGGCCCUCGUCGCCCACCUCCCGCACCGGCGGUGGCGGUGAUGCCCUUUCCAACUGCCUCUUGCACCCGCGAAGAGGAGAAGUUGAAGAUGAGAAGGGGUUUGACGAACAAACAAAGAAUUCAAACAAAAAAACACAUCCAAAUCAUUUCAGAUCUGGAAAUCUGAACCAAAAUCAUGAAGAUCCGCCAAUGGCGAGGAAUAGAUUGGGACAAUGAGUAGGAGAUCAAGGAGACGGUGGCAACUUUUGACAGCCACGCCGGACCUCGUCGCCCCCUUCCCACACCGGCACCGGUGGUGAUGGCCCUCGCCGACCGCCUCCCAUGUCUGCAACGAGGAGAUCUGGAGGCGGCGGCAUCAUUCGACGACCGAGAUGGCCUCUUCGCAUGCUUCCCGCACCGGUGACGACGCGCUAGCCCUCACAAACCGCCUCUUGCAUCCGUGAUAAGGAGAAGUCAAGGAUGAGAAGGGGUUUGAUAGCGAGCUCAGGAACGACGAAGUCGUCCGAUGGCGAGUUCGGGGACGACCGCGCCCUAGGUAGGUGGUGGUGGAUUUGGGAACCAACAGGGGAAAGAAACAGGCGAUACAAAUAGCGUUGGACUAGGGCUACCUGAGCAGAAACGCCCAAUUCUCGUGUUUUUGCUCGGUCUGGUUUGGGCUUAUUUUUUGCAUCAUUUGGGCCAGGCUACAACACUAGUGCAGGGACACGGAGAAUGUUGCAUCCCAGGUGCCAUACACAUGCGACCUAGUGAACCAAACACACCCUAAAGGUAUUUUUGGUGGCCACCACGCUAACCCUAGAUCAUAUCCACUGCUACGACAUCACCUACGCAUACGUAUUUUGUCUCUGGUGAACAUUCAUGAUUUUCAACCACCCGCCAUGUUCUGUUUUAUAAUGUCUUGUUUAUAAUAAAUCCAAAGAGCGUGUAUAAACGGUUUAAGCGUUCCUCAAUUAACCAACAACUUCUGAAAGUGGAUUGAGAAAGAUAGGUCUAGCUACCAUCGUGCUAGCCGUUCUUGAACAUAUUAGGAAAUGAUUUGGUAGUGCCAUGUGAUCCCAAACAGGAAAAACCUCUUAGUGCUAGAAUUUUUCUCGUAUUCGAGCAGUCAAGUGGGUGAAAGCACACAAGUGGAAUGAAGGUCCACAUGUCUUGAAAUCCAUUUUCCUAUUUGUAUUUGAGCCAAGGGUACGUGAACCAACUUAAUUUUACUAGAAAAACAAUGGUAUGUGACCCAACAUUUGCGUAUUAUGGGUUGGACUACUUUCCAAGUAGUUUUGCCCUUUUGACACAAGGUUCGGAUUCAUAUGUAUAAUAUACUAGAAUUGUGGUUGCACAACUAUGUAUUGGUAUAUGCAACCCUUUUAGGAAUUGUUUGAUGAGGAAGACGUAAGACGAACAGAAUGGAGCAGGUUGAGAAAGAAAAUGAAAAAAAAAAAUGCAAUGCCAAAUGAGAGGAUGGCGCGAGAGUUGCCAAUAGGCCUACAUAGAGAUAGAAAAUAAGGAAGACAAGGUGUUUUUCUUUUUAUGACCAUGAUUCAAUAUUUUUUGUACCAUAUUUGUUUUUCGCAUAGCAACGCACGUGUUGCUAGCUACAUCAUUCAGAGAACGUGUAUAACAAUUUAAGUGUUGUCUCGGUUACCGGCAAAAGAAAAAGCGUUGUCUCGGCUGCUAGCGGAUUCCAAAGUGGGGUGGGGAAGACAGCUAUAAUCGCCAGUGUGCUUGCGUCUCACGAAUUGAUUGGGAAGGUGAUUUGGCGCAGCAAAUGUUUCUAAAUGGGAUAAACAUUAAACCUAACCGAAGGUCUCCACGGACCUUAAAUCCACUUUCCUAUUUGUAUUUGGGCCAGCUACUUUGUGGUAGAAAAAUAGAACAUACUCUACUUGGUUUUACUAGAACAACGACGGUUGGUAACAACUUUUUAUGUAUUAAUCGAAACCAUAUCACUUCAUCAAUUCAACAACAUCCUUUUUUUUAGAGAAGUUGUCUCUUUUUAUAGUACAUCAUUUUAUCGCACAUGUCUUAGGUUUUAUCAUUUUUAAACGCAAUUUACAUCUUUUCAUUAGUUUUAGUUAAAACCUGCAACAGCGCGCCGGCAUUAUCACUGCAGCAACGGGCAUCAUCUAGUAUAAAAAAGGUGGCGUUGCCUGUAUGUUUUAUCCGUACCAUUCCGAGUAAACUUUCCGCCAAAUACCAAAAUUUCAGCGAGCAAUCCCUCUGCUGUGGAGCAAUCCCUCUCCUACACAGGCCCUCAGGAUAAAAGUGGUUGCUAAAGGUUCUGAAUAUCCCUGGACAGUGGACAGCCACGAUUCUAGUGUCAACAUGCAAGAUCCGCGGAAAAGGUACUUCAACUGAACUAUGUACGUGCACGCAAAUUUACAGCGGGUGUACGCAAACAAACGCAGCAGAACUAAUAUACACUUUGAACACAGCUCACCCAGCAGAAAGACCAUCAAACAGAGGCCAGUCUAUCAGGUGGAGAUGAAACCAUGAGACAGCCUCUCUAUCUUCGACUUCAGCAUGCCAAGGAUGCAGAAGCCAUUUCUCUCUGACGCUGGGUUGCCUUCCGGCAGCCCUGGAGACAGGAGCUCAUCCUUCACCUGGAAGGGCAGGGGCUCAAGCUCCCUCCGGACAGACUCAACGGCGUUCAUGUCAAUCUUGUUGCCUGAUAUGUCCUUGACAUAGAAUGUGUUCUUCGUCACAUCCCCGUCCAUUGCGAUGUCUGCCCGGGUUACGGUUAACCCGCUCUCUCGGAGUACCCGAGUGAUGUGUGAGAGGAAACCAACAUUUUUCUUCUCUGUGCAUAGCUCGAGCUUCACACCCUAAAAGCAUUCAUAGGAAUAGUCAGAUGGGAAUCAGAAAAUGCAAUAACAUCGGGACGAACAUAACGAGUAAUGAAAAAAGGAAUGUAAAGAGUUAAUAUUUGGAAUGGAGGGAUGUCACAGAAACAAUUUCAUUCCCCGCAGUAAUAGACUGCUGCUUAUUGCAAUCAAACUGCCUUGAUUUUUUAAUAGAAAGAUUUAACAACAAUGCACAUAUUACAUGGUCACAGUGUCUGUGUGCAUGCAUUCGAUGCAGAGGCCAGAAGGCGAUAAAGCUUUUUCCUCAUCUAGAAAAGCAAUUUACAUAGUCACAGCUUGUUGCAGAGUUUACCCACGUCACUAAGGAGCAUGGCAUUGAACUAGAGACAGGUACAGCCGGACCUGCUGUUUUGAGAUCUUAGCCUAAUUAUGAUAACAGGAAUCCAAAUCAUAUAGGUUAAACAGUCUACCUAGGUCCAGCAGAAGAUUACUGCAUUGAACUAACGCUGCCAGAAUUACAUUAUUGAAAUUCUGGUUUUACUACAACUAAAGGAAAUGGAAUUUCUGAUUGAUAUGACAAGAGAUAAUGAAUCAUAGGUGCAUGUGUGUUAACUUACCUCACAAGUUCGACGCUCAACCGCAGCCUUCAAGCCUUUCACCACUAGGCAUUUUUCAUCUGCUGUGUCUAGCAUAUGUCCAUCCUUGUGCCUGAUGUAGUACUCCUACACAAGCGAGUCCUAAGUUUGUGUCCCCUUUUCAUCUAUAGUUGCAGGUAUUUGCAAUACAACAUAUACAUAUUCCUAAUAAAACAGGACAAGAUGAAGUUACCUGACAGGCAAAAGGCCCCUGGGAAGAAACUGAGGCAUGGAAGACAUUAAAUUGCAUGUCUGUAAGGGUGCACACGGUAUCAAACAUCAAUUUCGGACGGUCCACACAUUCCACAUUUACAACUGAAUAUCCUUUCUCAUUGCAUCGAUCAAGAGAGACCACCGUACUCUUGUCUUUUUUAUAACCAUCCAAACUAAGCAUCGGGAAGGCAGUAGAUACCUGUCCUGGUUGUCCAUCAAAAUCUCUACUAGCAAACAUUAGCUGGUGCAACCGACGCUCAGGAUGACUUGUGAGGCCAUCAACCCCAAGAAGAUGAGCCCUUGCGCUACGCUGAUCAUCAUCCAUUGAUGUACCAGAUCGAAGGACAGUUCCAAGAUGGUCCUCAAUAGUGGCCAAGCGGUUUCGAUCAUUGAUGGGGGACGAUGUUGAUUCAUCAGACACAAAUGCAACACAGGCUAAGCUGUCCUUAUGGCUCCAAGCAUGUGCUUCUAUAACAUUGCACCCUUCCUCAGCAAGAACAGCAGAUAUCUCAGAGAAAAUUCCAGGCCGGUUGUGGCCAAUCAUCUCAAUUUCUGUAUAGUGUGCAGCAACAUCAGGUCUAGAGGCAAACUCAUUGGAUCCUCUCACUGUGAACCUCCGAGCCUCCCUAGUACAUAUUGCCUACAAAUAUGGAAGGCACUAAAUCACCGAUCUUCAGACUUUCCCCACGUUUAACAGACAGUUAGAGAGAGAGAGAGAGACCUGCUCUAUGUAGCUUAUGGCCUUCUUAUUGUAAACCUUGCUCCCUUCCUGGUCUUUCACAUGGAAAACUGCAAUCAGGUGGGCAAAGACGGAGAAUGAUCAGUUUAAAAGUUCCAUGGUUACAUGGCUUAAUAUCUUACUUGCGUGCCUCACAGAAUCGCAUAACUAGGUAUUCCCACAAAUAAGAAAAAAGAAGUAAAAAAAAGGAAAACUCAGAUAGCAAGUAAGCCUGCAGUUUCGAGGGGCAUUUCAGCAAAAAAGAAUGUUUACCAUGUAAGAAACACCUAGAAACAUUCACUCGAGAAUUCUGAAUUGGGACUUUUUUUAAAUAUAAUAAUAUCCUACAACGCGGGAAAGGUCAUGGGUGGAAGUGGAAUCAGAGGAAAGAUACUUUGGAAAAUAAUCUUUCAUUAGCCACACUUACCUUUGAGGUUUUGAUGUAAGAUUGGCAACUUCAGCGUUCAUGUACGGAUAACUAUGUGGUACAUUUUGGCAAAAACAAAAUGUGGUUCCAUAUAUACAAAUAAACAGUGCCCAGAUAUCCAGAACUCCAGAACGAAGCCAGUUUCGAGAUACUACUGUUUUUUCAAGAAAAACUGUAGGAGAGGUUCUGACAGUAUAUAAUAUUAAAAUAUAAAACAAAUACAAAGAGAGAUUACAGAGGGGCACAGGGGAAGCUACACUGUUCUAGUGUUAUUUUUUUGAAAGAGCUACCACUAUUACCUAGCAGGCACAACCUUAUUUUUUACUCUUUGAAUAUAUAGACAUUGUAUUAGCGUGCUCUUCAGUGGAGAAUGCAUAUUCAACCAUCUGAGUUACAUCUAAACAGGUAUCACCUAUUAGUUUAACAUAUCAUUCCAAUUCGUAGUUUCUAUCCUCUGAAACCAUAUUGGUACAUCAGUUCAGGUACCUUAUAAUGUGAAAGGAGAAUCCUAUUACAUCAAGAUCCAAUAGUAUAUAUCAAUGUUCAUUUUCAACUAAUAAACAUGAAAAAAAAUGAGCAUGUAGCUUUUUACCAUAAAACUACUACAGUUGGAUUUUCCUUCAGGGCAUACCAUCCAGAGACCAUCCACCAUCAGAUGAUACAUAGCAUUUGGUGAUAGACAGUUCCAAGUCAAUUAAAACUUCCAGAACUUCGAGCAGAAGGUCCUGUUUAUUGCGACUAUUCACCUAUAAUGUAAACAACAUUCAGUAACUCAGAGGGGGUCCUCUGGAAUAAAAACAUAUUCAUGGCAAUAACAUAAAAGUACUUAUUUGAGAGGAAAGUGACUUCAGUACUUACUUUCACAACAGUACAUCUGCCACACGAUUCGUUAUCCACAUGAACCCUGGAGAAUAAUGAGUAAAUUAGAUCACAUCACAUGCUAAAGCAUUACAAAAUGAUUUUUUCGCUAAAAAAUAUUUCACUAAAACAACUGAUUGUCAGUGUACCUUGUCCCAUAGAUCCUCUCAUUGAGGUUCUCAUAAUCUGGAUCAAAGUAAGCACAGCAGACCUCCAUUCUCCUCAUUUAGUGAAUUAAGUUUACAGGCAGAGAAUGACCUGAAUUUAUUACAGAUGCACAUGAAUCAGAGGUAAAUAAAAAAGAGAAAAGUCUAUCUUCAACCCUGAUCUUGUAGACAAAGUCUGAAUUAGACCCCAACCUUUUAAUCCCUGAAUUUCGAACCCUAACUUUAGCGAUCCCGGUUAAUUAAAAUCUUUAAUCCCAUAUGUCGUGUUUGGCGGACCGGUUUAAUUGACUGGGUCCGGGAUUGCUAAGCAAGAUGAUUGAGAUAGUCCCAAGACGGCUUUGCGGAUCUUCUGUACUUUCGGGUCCAUAGUAUCUGGCCAUGUCUACUACAUUAUGUUCACUGUAGGUAUAUACUUUGACCAUAGCUUGCAUAAAGCCAUGAACUAAAGUCUAAAGUUACGUGCUAGGUUUUAGUUGACAACUAAAUGAUCAUCGAGUAGCAGUGGUGUCUUGAUCUAGUACACACGCCUGCACAUGGCGUACAUCAAUCAUGCAUGAUUUUCGUGUACUGAAGCACUGUACACGUAGAUGAAAAACAAUUGGCCAGGAUAAGAACCUCGUUAGUUAUAUCCUAAGCGUAGUCAAAAUUGGCAAAAAUAAUAAUAAUAAUAGAAAAAUAGGAGAUAAGAAAGAACCUCACUCAGGGAUCAGCUUUUCUGCUUACAGCAAUCCCAGGCCACGUCAGCAAACCAGUCUGCCAAACAGGAUUUUCAGGAUUAAGGGGGUAUUUGACCGGGAUCAGCAAGGUUAGGGUCCGAAGUUCAGGGAUUAAAAGGUUAGGGUCUAAUUCAGACUUUGUGUACAAGAUCAGGGUUGAAAAUAGACUUUUCUCAAUUAAAAAUUGCAGCUGUUAAUAACAAGCAGAUCUAACAAGAACUCCCAUCAGUGCAAAGCUACAACUUUGUUUCAACCUAACACACGAUGCAGAUGUCGAAUUCAAGAAAAUACCACACAAUACGUUACCGCAUAAAGUCAAAAACACGUUUAAUGUAUAUACUACAUGAUACAACAAAUACUGAAACGGUAGAUGCAGACUGUACAAUGCAAUCAAGACUAGAAAAAAAUAUUCCAAUAAUUUACAAUAUGGAGGGUAGAAAAAUUAAAAAUUAUUCCAAUAAUUUACAAUAAGGAGGGUAGAAAAGUUAUAAAGCAAUAUUCUUCGAGAGAGAAAAAUAGGUCUUAUUAGGUCAUUUUAAUCGGCAAAUGAACUUUAAACUAGCCAGGAUGAAGAGAUUUGAUGAAAUAACAUUGUUCACAAGAAGUUCCUCAAUUUUUUUUUAUCAGUUUCAACUUUCAAGGCAUUUAGCUAGGGAAGUGAAAACUAGUACUCCCUCCGUCCCAUAUUUUAAGUGACUCAAAUUUGGCCAAAUAUGGAUGUAUCUAUACCCAAAAAGCGUCUAGAUACAUGUAAUAUUUCGUCACUUAAUAUGGGACGGAGGGAGCAUAUGAAUUACUGUUCGUUAGCACCAUGCUUAUCAGUUGUGGAACCCCUGAAACAGUGGUCUAAUACAUCGAACUUUUAACUUGUCGUAGAGGGCUUGAGGCCGAGAGGAACCCUUUGUGUUCGGCUGCACCAUCCUGAUGCAACAGCAAGGAAAUAAAAUCUUCCAUUAUCUAAACCAGUUAACUUGUAUCUCUCUAAAAAAAAAACCAGUUAACUUGUCGUGUAGAUACUAUCUUAACAGAUUUGCUAUUUCGAUACCAUAUCCAGCAGCGUUUCGUCGUGGGCUCUAAAUUAAAUCAGAACAUUUCUGGCUCAGCCAGAAACCUAUUGUCAGAUACCCAGAUACAAAUCGGGUCUGAAACAAACUGAAACAUAGACGUCGAACAUCCUCAAGUUUACAUUUGUAACAUAAAAACAAUGGCGUUCGAUUUCUGUGUGUAAAUCACCACGAAUGAAAUGAAAAUGAAAAAAGAAAAGAAAAACAUGCUUGCUGCAUCGAUCCACAACAUGCCCAUUGAUCUCCUAGAUGAGUUUCUCAAACACCACCAAAACAAAAACAGCCUGGUAAAAUUCCUCAAUCAAAAUGCAAUCCACCAACAGUAACCAAACAUAAGGUGGGCACAAAACAAAAUGCAGGGAGAUCUGCCACCGUACCAAGGCGAAACGGGGAAGCGGCUGGGCUGGGGAAGAAGAGGAAGAACGAGAGGUGGUUCCUCUUGCCCAGCGUUUCCUAGUGUAGGACUUUCGGCGCGCAACAAGUGCAGGAAUAGAGCGUCUCCUCGUUUGAUCCGUGCGUGAAAACGAGAGGCUCGUGGGGGGAGGUGUGGUACUGUGGCGUCGUGGGGGGAGGGGGGGGGGGGGGGGCGACUGGCGGCGGCGGGAGAGAGAGCGUGUUUAUGGAUGCGGCGACGCAGGGGCGUGUGCAGAGAGCGCCGCAGCUGUUCAACCCCGAUCCGCACGGGUUCAGCCUCCCUGCGACACGUGUGGGGUGGGUGCCCUCUAGGCCUCUAGAACUUUGCCCUGCUGUUCCUCAAAUUCAGGGAAUCGCCGCGUCACCUUUCGAGUGCUAAAGGUUUUGGUUGGUCGGUGCCUGGUACAUUUUUCUAUUUUCGCGUGCAGGUCGUUUGGCACCCCAUAUUAGAAUCGGAGGCCUCUUAGAAUUGUGAAAUUAUUUUGAAUUAUAAAAACUAAUUUACUUAGUUGUCACGGAAUUGGCUACAUGAAUUCAAUUUGUAAUUUCAUGAAAUCACAUUACAAUUAACUUCAAUUUCUCUCUAAAAGUCAUCAUUUAUCUGGAAUUAUGUCCCCCUCUACAAAUACAUGUGUUAGAAAACAUGAUUUUUUACCCUAAUUCAAAUUCAAGCAAAUGAAAUUCUAUCAAAAUUUUGAUUCAUUUCAUUUCUACCACUGAAAUGAAAAGAUGGGUGCCAAACGAGCUGGUAUAGAAAUUGUUGACCAACAAUUACACUAGUAUAUUAAAUUACUCCAUCUGUUCCAUAAUAUAACGUGUGCACACGUUUCGAGAUUUUGCUUUGACCAUCAAUUAGACCAACAAAUAAUGAAUUAUGUAUUAUAAAAAUGACUCCCUCCUUCCCAUUUCAAACGUCUUUCGGAUAUGAAUCUAGUGGUAUGAUUUUUAUAACAUAUAAUUCCCAUUUUGUUGGUGUAAUUGAUGGUGAAAGUUAAACCUCAAAAUGCGUGGGCACGCUAUAUUAUGGAACAGAGGGAGUAUUUGUUAUAAAAAAAAUUAUCGUCAAAAUGUUUUUCAGAUACAAAUCGAAUGAUUUUUUUUUGUAGCAUGUACUCUUUUCGUUCGGGAUUUAGAAGGCUUAUUUAAGAUAAAAUAUUGUUGUUGUUCUAAAAAAACAAGAGUAAGGAGUGCCAAUGCUCGAUGGCACAAGUGCGAGAAUAGUAUGUGGGGGUGUACGCCGGCCUUACAGUGAAGGUCGCCGUACACUUGGACAAGUUGACACGUCGAUAUUUUUUGAAUAGGUUCAGUCGACCCUGCCAGCAUGACUUAGUCCUAUGUUAGGAGAGGCUUCGAGGGGGUCAUUAGUCAGGUGCUUGGGCCGAACUCGUCUUCCCAGGUCACCUAUGGCGAGAGAUCUUUCGAGGCCGCCUCGGACUUGGGCCGAACUUGUUUUCCCAAGUAGCGAGGUUGGAUACCCUCGAGACUCUAACCCGAUCCUUCUACUUCGAGUCGAGAACGUACUAGACGGCCCAAAACCUCGAAACUAGGCUUCUCAAGUCGCGUCCCCGAGGUCGAGUCGAGUCUAGGCUCGACCCAAGCAUUCGAGAGUGGGCUCCUUAGGUUGCUCUAGCCCUCUCCCCUUUGAUCUUAUUCAAGUUGAGAGUCAAUGAUACAUGCCCCCAUGGAGGGAUAUUUAUAGCCUAGGGGUCCAUAACAAAAGAACAUGGAUACCUUUGAAAGAGAGAGAAAAGUGAUGGCAAACUUGUAAAAAGUGAUCCUUAGUCCAUAGCUUUUGUGUGCACCAAGUGGGAAAAAUAGGGGUUGGUCCAUGUUCCAUCAUGGACCAAAAACCUCAUCCCUACACCUUUCUUGGCCCCUACUCAAUACUAAGCUCCUCUUCUGUUUUGACCAUGGUAUGAGAGGCUUGACUUGUUGACUCCUUUGACCGGCGUCUAGUUAGCAUGGCUACGCCUUGUUGGCAAAUUAAUCGGUAUUUGGGAUUUGUUGAAUUGGUCGUCACCACGUAGGAUUAUGGCCCGGCCCAUGUAAGAAUUUUAUUAUAUUACAACAAAUAUAACCAAUACAUAGCAACAAAAGAGACAAUAGACGUAGAUUUAACGUUGAAAAUGCUACUCGCUCCGUCUCAUAUUAAGUGACUUUCUAUUACAUGUAUCUAAACACUUUUUAGGCAUAGAUACAUUCAUAUUUGUGCAAAUUUGAGUCAUUUAAUAUGAGACGGGGGGGGGGGGGAGUAUUAUACAAAGAUAAAACAAUAAUACCAAAACAUAGCUAGUACCAAAAUAAAAAUGGCUCAAUGCAUGCAAAAGAAUUAAUGCCUCAGUGUAAACCAAGAAAAUUAAUGCAUGUAAUUAAAAGGGAGACAUGUGAGAUCUGCUUUAUACUUGUGAAUCAAGUUUUGAGAGAGAUAGUCAUUCAAAACCUGGACGGAGGGAGUAAAACUCUCAUAUCAUUAGUCUAAUCGUUAAUCAAAGUUAAACUUCGAAAUACAUGUACACUAUUCUUUGCACAGACGGAGUAUUUCCUUUAGCUAAAUACCGGCCCAUUCAUACAAUUUACGCCUCUUUCAAGCAAGGACUUUUAUUGGUGAGUGUUUAAUAUGAAUUGUAUUGUCCUAAAUGCUUACGUUACGGAGAGAGUGCGAUGCCCUUGAGAAUAAUGUAUCUCGUUCUUUCUUUGACAUGACAGUGCCUUACAUCGGGCGGUGCUGCGCAAUUAGAGAGUUUUACUGACCGCAAAGUCGUUGUACUUGGUCUUGCGGAUUUGGGUGUUAUAUCCUCGCUGAACCAUUCAUAUGGAUGUGAUGAUUUUUUUAUCUGUGUCAUGAUGCUUUUGUCGGUAUGACCAUUUGUGCCUUUGAGUCAUUCUUAGGCAUUCUAGCGAAAAUCUUGUGGUUCGAUGACAUGUAUCUUUAGGGAACCAUUCGCAAGGCACGUACGUUUAACGUUGAUAAUUGCAUAUUUUUUUUAGAUGGGCGACUCAGUAAGCCUUUUGAAAUAUUUUAAAUUUGUGAAGUUCGUGAUGGGGUUUUAGUAGCGAUGUUGCUUCUCUUGUCUAAUUGCAAUCUGCUUUGCUAAAAACUUGGCAGUUUUUCGUGUUGCAAACAUUGAUACCUCAUAAAAGAUGUCUUCCAAAGAAUUUCAUACAUAAGUUAUCUUGUACAUACUAGGUACAUAGUAGUUUCUGUACAUGUAAUGUUUGUUGAAUUUGAAUACAGGAAAAUGGAAAUGCACUCCAUCAUGACGCUGGCAUAUGUUUAAUUUACUACUCCCUCCGUUCCAUAAUUCUUGUCUCAAAUUCGUCAAAAACUGGAUGUAUCUAUUACUAAAAAGCAUCUAGAUACAUGUAAUAUUUCGACAAGAAUUAUGAAACGGAAAGAGUACUUUGCAAACAAAAAAGUAUAAAGAGAAUGGUUUGAAUUAGAUUUGAAACUAGUGACACUUCCGUAAAUGUUCCUAGGAAGGAUACUUUUAUUCGGAUUAAUAAAACUGUAUUAUUUUCAUUUUAUUUGGAGUAAAAUCCUAAUUUGUUGCUUCAUACUCCCUCCAUCUCAUAUUAAUUGACUUAAAUUUGUCCAAGUAUGGAUGUAUCUAUGCCUAAAAACGUUUAGAUACAUGUAAUGGAAAGUCACUUAAUAUGUGACGGAGGGAGUAGUUGUUACUACAAAACUUAGAUUUUUUUUCUGUCAUCUAAGGUAGAUAUUUUAUGCAUCCAUGCUUUACUAGGCUUUGAUAUCUGUACAAGUGUAUAUGAUAGCUCUAACAAAAAUAUAACAAAGGAAGGGUUGAUAAAGUUUACAUAUGAAGCUUGAUGACGUGGAUAUAUUACCACCUUAAGCAAUCACGUAAGCAUCGUGCAUUGUACCUACAUUCUCCUUAAACACUGUACAAAGUGCCUCAUGUUAUACAUAAUUUAAAUGUUCGUAAGUGACCUUUACUAGCUAUGGAGCACUAGAUACAAAGACUACAUGCUUGUUUUAAGCGAACACAGUGUUAAUCAGGACUGAUGUUCCCAAAGUACUUGUGCUUCAACUCCCAUGCAACGCGUACCCUGUAACUUUGCAACUGAGAAUAAAAUCCGCCCUGUGCAACAUGACCGUAAUUUACUUAAAAUUUAUACUAUACAAGUAGUUAGAAAAAGCCAGUUGCAUACUAUACAGAAAGAUUAUCAGAAGCCACUGAAAAGAGAUACUCCCUCCGUUCCAAAUCACGAAAAGAAUUAUGGAAGUACCAUCAUAUCUGGAAACUAUAUUUACUUUUUCUAGACCGUACUUUAACGCCUAGACUGCACCCAUCUAUGAAUGGUCUCAACUACUUGUGGGAACAAUGCACUGAUACUCUCAUUGAUGAGUUCCUGGAAAAAAUGUACAGCCUCCUCAUCUUCUAGAUCCAAUCGGAAAUUCUCCUGAAGCUGGUUAAAGACCACAAAAAAAGAAUGAAAGGAAGAUGUCAGCGAGACUGCUUAUGGGUGAUUAAGAUGUUCAGCUUGAAUAACCAGUUACCUUAAAAAUGCCCUUCUCCGUGAUACUUGGAAUAUUUGAUCCCGACAUCAGAUGGAAGAGGUUCAGAAUUAGAUUGCUGGACUUCCGUAAUAUGUUGUAUGCUUCACAACAGUAGGACUUGAAUCUAGCAUAGUAUUGGCUGAAAUGGAAACGGAGUUACAAAAAUUGAAAGAAAAAAAAUCAGCUGACAAAAUAAAAAAGAGAAGGUACACAAAUUAUCAAGCUAAUCAAUAAAGGAGUACCUUUCAACACCACCCAUGGCUUCUACCAUUUCUUUGCAUAAUUUCAUCGGUGGCUGUGAUGGCGCAAACCGGUGUGGUUCUUCGCCCAGCAUAAAAGAGAAAUCAACAUGGAAAAGGCGUCCAUCAUCUCGUAGAAGAAGAUUAUCAAGAUGCCUAGACAAAUAAAUCGGUCAUUAUUGUUUCAUAAAAGCUGCAUAUUGCUAGAUAUUUUAUCAUGCUUCAUACCAUUAAUAAUUUUUUGUGGGAAUAUGUGGUUCAGUUGUUCACUCAGUAAAGACUUCCAAAGAAAAUAAUAAUAUAUGCAUGCACAAUUCUUUCGAGAACAAGCUUAACUACCCUAAAGGUACAUAACCAGAAUACAGUAAGUACCAACAGAUGCUAACCUGUCACCAAUCCCCAAGAUGUAUGUAAUUACGCAGUAACCAGCACAGCUUUUUACAAAGCUUUCCAAGCAUAGGGCAGUAAUGCCGAAAGGACCUUCUUUGUCAGGAUGAUAAAUUUGCAGGUAACUUAUGAUGCUGCCAUGUUUUUGUAGAAUCUGGGAAAAGGCAGUAUUUAAUAAAGAUUUUUUUGAAAAAGCAACAAAAAAGAAAGUAUCAUUAAUCCAUCCAAUGAUCCAGUGUCCAGUAAUUAAAGAUUGGCAUUAUUUUCAUUCAAAUAUUUUAUUUUCUAGCAUUGUUUUCAUGAAAGAAAAUAACAUUCACAAAAAAUGCUGAUAGUCCCAUAAACCUAGUGAUUCCAAAAGAGUACAUAGGGACUCAAAAUGAAUUAACCAGUUACCUGCCAUUUUCUUGACAAAAUUAUAGAUGCUAAGAUUACGAGGAUGACUGAUCUCGUGAUAUUGCAGGCCAAAGGGACAAAAUAUAAGACCAAAUCAGGACACCAGUCCAGAUCGAACACAAUACUGUAGUAAACCUGAACCAGUGUACUAAAACCCUUAACAAAGCACACCUUUAAUUGAGUUCCACCCAUUUGUGCUCACUCUGUAUAUCCAAGCCUUUUAUUUUCUAGAUUUAAUAUUUUUAAGCCUGCAUCUCAACCUUCAACUUGCAAAACUUAUUGGCUGCUUAUUUGUGGACUUUUGGGUAACAUAUAAACAAUUCUAAGACAAUUAAUAACCAAAUAUAUAUGAUAUCUGCAAUGCCUCCCUUGCAUAAUUUAGAUUAUACUGGACAUAAAAUUGUAAAACUUGUAGAGCUCAUUUCAUAUUUACUGUAGUUUGUAGAGAUGAAGGUGGUGCCCAAGAAGAUGGAAUUUGUAGAUAUUUGUAUUGCAAACGAAUAUAUGUGAUAGCAGUUGAUAUUAUGUUCAAUAAUGAAAUUACCUUUGCAAGGGAACUCGAAGGAAUAAACUCAACCAACCCUUCGUUUAGGUCAGUUGCAAGAACACGAUAUGGGGUAAGGUGCAGGUCUAGAUUUUCUGAUUUGAGCAAACGGUCCAUCAAAGAGAACAUUUGGAUGACCUAACAACGCAUAAAGAGAGGAAUUAGUUAAAUAACCUCCUCAAAAACGCAGUCGCAGAUGCACAUACAUGGUGGUGAAAACAGAAAACAAAGGGCACAACAAUCCAUGCUAACGAGAACGGGUAGGGUGUGGGGUUUGAGUAGUUGAUAAUGAGUACAUCGGCGGAGGAGCCACCGCCCCCCUAGCUUAACUUUUCUCAGGGAAAAAGUCAGACUGUUCAUUUCCCUUUACUAUGACAGAAAGGAGGCACAUGAAUAUAUCAAACAUAUAUAUAGGAAGUAUCUCUGGGUAGGGUCGUGGACCCAUGGUUCAAAUUCUGUCACCCAUUGCAUCUCAGGGAAAAAGUAUGUGGUUGUGCUCCAUGAAGUCAUAAUUUUAAGCUUCUGGAAGGGGCCACACUCGCAUGUGUAUGGUGGUAGUGUGUGCGCCUCUGUGUCUAUCUUGUAACCGGAACAAAAAUAAAGGUUUCUAGAAUACAAGAAAAGUAAAUCUGAUUCUUCACAUCAAUGUGGAAGCACAUUUGAAUAUUUACCAGCUGAUCUUUGCGGAGAUUAUCGCCUUUCUUAAAAAUAAUCUUCGAUGUUCCCCCAGUAUGAGUCCUAAAUGUUAGACACAACGGAUACAUAGCACUACUAAAUACAAAUGAUUCUUGAGGCACAAUUCCCGCAAGGAGGACACUUGGUGUUAACGGUGAACGUAUUGGCUGAAAGAAAUUUUACAGAGUAUGUCAGUUUAAUAAAUUUCAACCAAGAUGAUCAAUUCAUAGAUCUGGAAAUGUGCAGCGCAAAACCUUAUGACCAACUGACAUGUAGCUGCGUACUGCAUAAUAAACAACAGAAGUUUCUAUGUGAACUUGUUAAGAACAACAUGAAUUUUACCUCACUGAAGUUGGUAAGCUCACUGAAGACUCCUGACAAUAGCUGUUCUAAUUUCUCGGCUUUGCUUUGUGCCCGUUUAACACUCAUUAAAUCCUUGGUAAUAGAGCGUAACUGAGCAGUAAGAUCUGACUGCCGUGACAUACUAAGCCAAAGUUGAAACCCAUCUUCACCUCCAUCCUUCCCAGCUACCAACUGUUUAGACAAGUCAAAAUACAGAUAAAAAUUAGGAAUGCAUUGCAUACCUACAGAUUUAGUCCCGGUGAACUAAGAUUGUCUGUUUGGAUUUUGGAAAAGAAAAGGAGAAGAAAGUGUACCGUCAUUAUACUUUCUUCAAGUUGGUCAUAUGUACGGUAAUAUCGUCUUGCGUGUGUAGGAUCAUGAAGCUCAACAAUUAAGUACCAGCGAAGGAAGCUCGCAAUUCCAAAAUUGGACAAAGCUGAAAUAAAUAGGAAAAAAAAAUCAUAUUCUGCAGUAAUAAAUAUGAAAACAGCAUUCUGACAGAAAUUAAAGCCAGCUUACAAAAUUUAAAAUAUGUUUGCAAGGGGUUGGAAUUUUUUAUAUAUAUACACAAACUAAUUGUCAUGGGUGUUGGAUCAAUGAUCAAUGGCACAGGGAAGCAAUAAACUAGAAGUCCCAUGCAGCUGCUGGUUCACAAUAUUGUGUAGGAUUACUGUGGGAAUUAAAAUUAGAACCUAUCUUCAACAGAAAAAUUCUCGCUCUGCUCAAAAUAGAACAGAUGAAACGAGUGUGCAUGCACUAGUGUAUAGAAAAGCAGUAACUUUUCUUCUCAACAAUACAUAAUCUUUGUUCAAUCCGACUUUAUGUUACCAACUCUGGAAUAUUGUGGAUUAUAAUCAGUUGAUCACAUUUCAAAAUAGAGAUUAGCGUUGCUUAGGUCUUAAGCUUUUAACAAUGCCAAGUUCUGUUAAAGUAGCAAUUAGAGUCCAACCACCUAAAAUCAUGUACGGCAAGGUUUCACUGAACUCUAUCCUAACCAAACAACAAACUAAAAUAAAACACGGUAGCUAGUUUCAUUGAACACUAUACUAACCAAACGAUAACUGCAACCGGAUUUCACAACACUUGCCGGAAAAAUAUUUCUAGUAACAUACAUGCAUCCCUGUAUUUAGCACACAAACAACUGGGUUUUAAAUAACAACUAGAAAGAACUUACAGCGGCGCACAAGAAAGAGUGCUAGGUGCGACUUGUCUGAUCUUUCAAAUCUCAGAGCUUGUGCAAGCUGCGGUAAAUAGCAUUGUAUCUCUUCAUCAUUGGCCCUUUCUAGUAUGCUGACAGCAUAAGCACGCACCUUUGUACAACAUAGUAGUUUUUGUUAUAAACACAAGUUAGAUAGUAAAAUUUAUUAUCCAUUCAACAGUUACCGAAUUAUCUGACCUAAAAACACGUACCAGCUGAGAUAAUCAUGCAGAAAGUCAUCCUUGCUAUUUAGAAAAAGUAACUUUACAGAAUAAAGGGAAACAUCACUCACAGAAAGAGGGAUGAGGGAAGGCAAGUGACAGAAGAGAUUAGUCACUGAGGACUGAGACAUAAGAUGUAUUGCAUUGGAGCAAGCCCUUUAUGGAGAAGAGAACUGGCAAUCUGGAGGUACAUUUGGAAGAGCUGCUCCAACAAGUGCCAGUUAGUAAUACCAUAUUACCAAGGAUGUAUGUACCCUAUAGAUGUAUCAUGACCGUCCUCCCUGGACCUACAUGUAGUCAUGCUAGGUAGGGACUCAGAGGAGAUAGGAAAUGUCAUGUGCCGGUAAUCCGGGGUCUCAACUGACCUAGGAGAUUUUUCCUAGUUGGUUACAUCAUUAGAUCGUAUCUUAUCAAGAGACAGAAGACUUGCUGACCAAGAAGAUGCCAAUAUAUAACUUGCCAAAGACCAGGCCGUUCCAGAAUGCACAAGCAAAGCUAAAUCACAGAAGUCAUAUGAGACAUAGUUCUUAUGUUCAAUCUCGCUUGUAACCUUUGUAACACUUGUCCAAUGUAAAUAUAAUCAAGCAGUGCGAAGGGCUAUUACCCAUCACCGACACCCCCCAUCCUUUCUAUACACGACCCAUAGCUAGAUCAUAAGAGCAGCGGUUCAUAAACCGUCGACAAACAAGGCUCAAGAUCUUCCUAUGGUUAGUUAUACUUACUUGCUGAACCGGGGACAGGCUCACAAGGCACGGCCUGCCUCACGCACAGAAGUGCUAAAGAUCACAAGGGCGCAGCCUGCCUCAUGCACAAAAGUGCUACUCUAGGGCCAGAAACGCAAGACGAUUCAAGACCUUCUUGGCACAAAAUCUUUUAUUAGAUCUAAUCAACAGUAGCCUUUUAGUGGCGAAUGAGCCCUUCACUGAGUUGUGCUCUCCCAUGAUCGACAAUGCACCAGCAGUCCGUAGAAGGGUUGGUGUCUACAAUUUCCCUCACAGCUUAGCCCAUCUGGAAAAGGCGGAUUCGUUGUGUUUUUAUGGGGACAGUCCAAAUGCCCAACUCCUUGUCAGCAUCAUCAAAGAGGAGGCCCAUACAUGGGCAGCCGCUGGCGGCAUGGCCUUCGGGUCAUGCUGACUACAGGCAUUGGCUAAUUAGCCAAGUAUCACAUGUGUUUUCUAAUUCAACAAAGAUUACCAAGCGGGCGCCAGCCCGAGCUUCCACACUUGAGCGAUAGGUAUGCCAAGUAUCUUAAAUUAGCAAGUUAGAAUUAGAUCUUUAGAUAUAUAUGGUUUGCCCUCCAAGUUUGGUGUGUUUAGCCAGCUGUAUAGUAAUAGAUGGCAAUCCCUUGGUAAUAAAUCAAGCAAGAGUUCCAAAUACUUUCUCUUUCUCUACCCCAUUGUUGCCACACUUCUGCACCUACCUCCAGGCCUAGAACCCCUGUUGAACAGGGCUAGAAUUUAUUAUCCAAUCCACAAAUCCAAACUCCCAAGAACAUGACAACAUAGGCUAGUCACAUAGCAGAAAACGACAAAAUAAAUAAACAGAUAUAUACAAAAUAAAAUGGUAAAUGAAAUCUUUCUACCACAUGGGAAUCCUCAAUAAGGAAAGGACAAAAAGGGGGCAAAAAUGCUUACUUCUUCGUUUUGAAAAACUGCUGAAAGAAGCCCCAGGGCAUCAGCCACAUCAAUGGUUUCCCACCUUCGAAUCAAGGCAACAGCUUGCUUGGCUUCCUACAUACAAGUACAUCAUUAUCACAUAGCAUAAGAGAUCUUGAUUUCAUAUUAUCAACACAGAAGGCACAAUCUGGGCAUCCAAUUAUUCAAAUACAUCCGUCUCUUUUUGCAAUUGUUGAUCAGAACAGAAUAAUAAUUGAAUUGAGAUGCUAGUCACAAAACAUUUCGAAUGAUCCAUUUUACAAUACAAAAAGUCACAAAAAAAUGUUCCCUCCUGUUUAAGUAGCUAUAAGAUGCUGCAAUUGUUGAUUAAAUGUGUUGCAGUAAAAUGCGCUACUGCAACAUUUAUUCACAAUCACUGGACAGUUAUCAUUAAACUAGUUCAACACAGUCUGAUCUGAAAAAAAAACUCAAGACAUCUGAUCUGUAGAUACUCCAAUAUCAAUAAACAUGAAGAAGACAAAAGGUAGAGCUAGAAAAGAAAUAGUAUUAUUCUCCAGUGUUUAUAGUGUUAAGGAUAGCAUGUAUGUUAGGGUUGCCGUGGGAUUGUAAAGUAGUCUAGUUUUUGUGGCAAGAGCCCACAACCUAGAAACAAUUUGUCAUAAGCAAUGAUGAAUUAAUCAGUACUCGGUACCAUAUGAUGCAUAUGACAAAUUAGAAUAUGCAAAAUAAAAACAGCUUUUGUUAAGCAUAUAGACGCUUUUACUUACUUGGGUAUCACUCCAUUCCACGGAGAGGAGGAACUUUGCAAGAGCUUUCUUCUCAGACAUCAAAGAGAAACGAAAUUUCCAUAACAAUUGCUUCUCAUCAAGGCUUAGAGAAUGUGUUGGUGGAUAUUUGAGGAUUGUUUGUAUUAACCUACAAAAGCAUGGAUAAAAUAAUUCAGCCAGAAAUCCUACACGAAGAUAUUAAUAUUUACCCGAACAACAGAUUUUUCCUUCGUUUUUCCUACUGAUUCAUGCAGCAAUUUGUUGCAUCGAAGGUUAAUAUGAAAAUGCUAAAAACAUUUAUUUAAUAUACAAUUCAGAAGUUCUGUGCACUGUUGUGAAACCAAAGAAAAUGACAGACUAAGAUAUGAGAACUGUAAGAGGAGGAAAGCAACAAAGAUGGAAAUUGCACUCACUUUCGCUCAUUUGAACUUGGUUUCAUAUUUCUGUCGAUCAUUCCGCGAGCCAGGCUCCUAGCAAGCAUAAGUUGUUUAUGCUCGGAUGGAUUGAUUUGUCCAACAUUAGGGUCGCUUACAAAAAUAAGCUUAUGCUUAGAUGGAUGCACUAAUGAUAAUGGUGCUGCUAAGCGGAAAUUAGCACCUGAUUCCUGCAUGCAGAAAAAAAAUAAAAGAAACUUAUCUGCAAAGUGCAAACCGCAAAGGUGAACACAUAGAAAAAGUUGACGAUAUAGUAAGUCAUGAUGAAGCUAAUUUGAUCAACAAGAAACAAGCAAGCUUCCUUAAAAAAAAGAAACAAGCAUGUUUUCUUUCAAACAAAGAAAGAAACAAGCGAUAGAUAUUGCAAUAUCCAGGUAGGCAUCAUUUCAAUUGAGCGGUAACUAAAUAUGGUGCAAGCUUCAAAUAAGAAUUGAAUAAAUUGUUUUUAUAGCACUUUGUUGAAUAUGCAUUCUAGUGAAAUAGUAGGUCUAUUGAACUGCAAUCCAAAACAAAACUGCAUCCUUAAUACUCCCUCCGUCCCGAAAUAAGUGACGUGGAUUUGUAUAGAUUCUUAUACAAAUUCACGUCAGUUAUUUUGGGAUGGAGGGAGUAUAAUUUAUCAGAACAGUUUAAAUGAACGGAAUAAAAACAGAAAAAUGAUAUUCAUCUGCACUCAGUGGUCAAUAACACAACCUGAAAAAUAACUUUGUGUUCAAAACUGCAAAGUUCAACAAUUAGGCUAGGGUAUGAAUUCGCAAUUCUCUCACUCUCUUCCUCCAUUUUAUCCACAGCUCUGAAGGUGAGACGAGCUAGCCAAUCUAUAUGUUGUAUCUGUCCUUUCUUGUACUUGUUAGCAACCCUCUCCAAUCUCUCCAUCUCAUCCCUCUUAGUCUUAGAAACCUUCAAGUCAAUAAAAAUAAGUAAGCGCUUUGUGUGAUGAAUAAAAUAACCUAGAAAUGCAACCAUUAGAAGAAAAAAACGAAGCAAAUAUAACUGUGGAUGUAUGAGAGACAAUGAAGCUCUUCAUCUAACCUUGCCAGGAGUUGAGGUGGGGAGACUUCCAUCCGCCAUUUUUUUGGGCCAAAUCCUCAGCCUAUGCCGUCCAGUUUUAAGCUGUUUUUUGCUGUUAAAAAGGGAUACAGUGGCUCCACCAACAAUCAUCCUAUCUUCACCAGCUGACACAUUCCAAACCUAUAUUACAAAAUAGAAAACUCAAAUUGUAAAAUUGGUGGAAAACAUAAUGGUGGAACCAUUCGAAAAUGUCAAUACUUUGAGGCAGAAGGCUCUAAUUAAAUACAUCAUGACACCAUGAGUAAAUUGUGCAUGGCAUAAUUCAUGUUUAAGGAACUAAGGCUGUAUUUGGCAUUGCAGUGGAUUAUGAGAUAAUCGUGUUUUCCUAACAAGUUUUUGACUAUUUUUACCUUUUGGAUAACCAACCUUUUGCUGUUUUCAUGGGUAUUUUUCAACAGCAGAUUAUAAGAUAAGUUGUGCGCAGAACAGUUCAGCAACUGCAAACUGAGACUAACAGUAUUACAUUGCAUAGCUGAUCAACAAGCUCGGUUCAAUAUCUUCCAGUCCUUAUGAAUCUUAAUCUAGACUUGAUUUCACAGUGUUCCAAAAGGCUGAUGAUGCAUUUUCAGUUAUAAAAGUUUGAAAAGUAACUAUUUUUUCAUUCAAGUGUACUGCAAGCAUUUGUUUCCUUGACUGUACUAAGUUUAAUUAUGUAGACCCUAAACCCUCUAGCUGAGAUUUUGGGCAGGAAAGCGGGAUCCUUUUUGUUUACUUGCUUGGAGCUGCCUAUGUGUGAUGUUACUUGACCGGUGGAUAAUUCGGCUAUCAUGGUAGGAUGCAAUAUUCAAAGGAGGACGAGCAUUGGUUAAUUCAGUCAUGUCUGCAUUACCCACGUUUUACAACGAGUACUUUCCUAAUCCUAAUUGAAGUUGUCAUGUACCAGUGUUAAAAUUAGAUGGGCUUUAUUUUGGAAAGGUGACCCAUUUGUUCAAGGGACAAUGCAGUGACUUUGAAUAGAGUUUCUUUACGAAAGAAGUUUAUAGUAUAUAUGUUCUGCUCGGUGCUAACUAAUGUGCAUCUUUUAAAAAAAUAGGCCCAUUCAUUGGAUUCAACUUCGGUAGCAUACAAUGAACUUCAGACUGCAAAAUCCAGUCCACAAAAUAUACCGUGAAUGCAAGCUGUGAGAGGGGUGUUAGAUCCCUGUACUUUAUACUGAGUGUCAUAAGCUCAUUCCAGCAGUAGAUUGGUCCUGAAGAUUCCAACCUGGAAGAAAAGGCAAAUUCAAUCCCAAGAAAAGAGCUGACUAGAUUCAUUAAAAUCAGUAACAUUUAGCACUGAGUUUCUCUUACUAACAUAUUAUAAGAUACAGUACCUUGUAUCGACAGUUAGUCCAAACUGUAUUCCAUCAAUGUAUAGCGCACACUCGACAAACAGCUCCAAAGAACUUUCAAUCAACAAAGUAUGAUCUAGAGAAAACAAACAUUGUGAGGAAAGGAUAUAGGCGUAAAGCUAUGUGGAGAAAUUUUAAAAUGUACAGUUACUCCAUUAGAUAGUGAUGUAUACUCAUCCAUAGAGUACACCAAGCAAUAGGAUUAAGUGAGGUCCAUUUCAACUGACUCUCUCUAAGAUUGUAAGAUCAAAUUUUAAUCAUCUCAUAGAAAUUUCAAGAUGAGGUCGCACUCAACUUGAUCUCUAGAUAUUAUAACAGCAGACCCAAAUCAUUAUUUUGACCAAGCCUCACUUUGUUCUGUCAGAGCUCCAUAUUGACCAAAAAAAAAAGUUUGUCUUGAAUUAAAGCUAAGUACUUUCUAAACCAUGAUGCUUGUUCCAAGCCAAAAGAUCAAGUUAGCAUUCAGGGCCAGUAUCCAUGACCUUAAGUAUGUAAAUUGUAGAAACUUGCUAACUAGUGUUUACAGCAAAAUACCACUAAGUGGACUAAGUGGAAUAAUCACAUCAGGUGGCAUAAGGACAGAAGCCAUUUGAGUGAAGAUAUGGCUGUAAAGUAGCAGGGUGAAACAAUAGUUUUUAAUGUGACAAGAAGUGAAAAUGUAAUAGCCCAAGACUUGAGAAGGACAGGUAAGUGCAAUAUGCCACUAACAUCAGAUGAACUAAGGAGUAAGGACACCAGCAAUUUAAGUAAGCCAUAUCUUUUUUAUGCAUACUGUAAAUGUAACAGAUAAAAACUUGACCAAAAGGUUCAUCCUGACCUUCUGGGGAUAAAAAUAAUCCCCACGAAGAAAAAUGCUUAUUAAACAAGGACAUAUAUAAUUUCCUUAUUCCCUGGAGGCACUUCCAUAAACUUACACCAGUUCAACUUUUGAUUAGUCAGACAGAAAUUAAGCAUGUGUGUAAACUGAGCUGUCUGUACCAGAUAAAGUUUUAAAUUACAAAAUUUUUUUAUCAACUCAAGUACUCUUGUUGGUGGCAAUGUGUAAACUGAGCCAUCGGAUACUUAAUGCAACAAGUCAACUAGUAUAGGCUGUAUAGUCGAACAAAAAAAAUAUAAAUUCACCAAAAAAAAAAUGCUGACUGUUUUGCAGAAAAUAGGUUGAAUAACUGUAGUGCAUUCCUUGAUAAAAUUUAAAUGUAGUACUAAUUAUGCCUUUCGGCAUUGCCCUAACCAGAAAGAAUCUCACUCAAUUUUAUUCCUUGGAAGAAGAAGAAAGGUAUAGCAAAUUUGAACAAAGAAGGCCUGGUUGGAACUUGGGCGGCAGAUUUAAAGCAUUGAGCCACAACAGUUCGCAUAUGACGACACAUUGACCUCCAAUUCGACCAUAGAGGUCAACAAAAAAAUACUAAAGCCUAGCUCUAAUCCCUGAAUAAACCCUUCACCGCUACCCGCCUCAACCGACCAACCCAAAUAACGAGUUUACUAGCAAACCGCGGCUAAACCUAACCCUAGAGGGGACGAACGUAGCUGGGAUAGGGAGGGGGAGAGAAGGGGGAGGCGGGGGACCUGGGAUGAGGCGGUCGACGCGGAACGCGAUCGGCAGGCCGAUGUCGUGCGACAGGAAGAACCGGGAGUCCUUGCUGCCGCAGCUGGGACGGUCCGCCUGGGCGUCCGCGGCCAUCGACGGCAUAGUGCGGUGUGGGCGGCCGGGAUGGUUGGCUGCGCCGCCGCCGGGUGGUGGUGGAGGAGGAAGGACUCGAGUCGAGCCUCGAGGCUGAGAAGCUGUAACGAUCCAAUUAUGGCGGGUGACGCUUUUACGGUUUCCCUUCGUUGUGGAGUAGGAGUUUGUAUUGUUUCCACGGACACGGAAGAGGUGGGGGUGCAAGGAAGCUGAAUAUGGAUACGAAGAAGUAUGCUGACUUUAAUGUCUUAGAAAGUAUAGAGUGCAUGGUCAGAAUUGGUUUUUUUAGGAGGCAAAAGCUCUGCCUGAUUCAUUGAUAAAGCAGGAGAAAAAAAAAAUACAAACACAAGUACAAUGUGGUGCCAGAGCCACUCGAAUUGUUCAAGUGGCAAGCUGGAGUGUUGUACAUACAUUGUCUUACAAUGCAGCAAACAAGAUGCGAAGUUGCUACUACGACUCACCUAUCUUGUGUAUUGCAAAAAGCAGGCAACCAACAAAAUUUACAUGAGCAUAUACUAAGUAGGAGUAAUGGAUUAGCAGCAAUCAAAUCCCACUAUCAUCCUUGAGCGUCAAUGAUGUGUAUCUGCACCACAGAAUGUACAGAAUGGAUAAAAAAGCCCUUAAAUGUAAGUAUUUAAUGAAGCAACAAUUUCAUUCAGGUGCAUAAAUCUGGUUUACAUGACCAAAGAAUACACAACGAGCAAUAACUAUAGUUUUAUCUUUCGUUGGUGCCAACAAAGUGUUU
rnacentral:lncRNA from 1 species